GAAGUUUUCGGAUGGAAUUUGAUUGACUGAGUGGCGGACGGGUGAGUAACGCGUGGAUAACCUGCCUCACACUGGGGGAUAACAGUUAGAAAUGACUGCUAAUACCGCAUAAGCGCACAGUACCGCAUGGUACGGUGUGAAAAACUCCGGUGGUGUGAGAUGGAUCCGCGUCUGAUUAGCCAGUUGGCGGGGUAACGGCCCACCAAAGCGACGAUCAGUAGCCGACCUGAGAGGGUGACCGGCCACAUUGGGACUGAGACACGGCCCAAACUCCUACGGGAGGCAGCAGUGGGGAAUAUUGCACAAUGGGCGAAAGCCUGAUGCAGCGACGCCGCGUGAGUGAAGAAGUAUUUCGGUAUGUAAAGCUCUAUCAGCAGGGAAGAAAAUGACGGUACCUGACUAAGAAGCCCCGGCUAACUACGUGCCAGCAGCCGCGGUAAUACGUAGGGGGCAAGCGUUAUCCGGAUUUACUGGGUGUAAAGGGAGCGUAGACGGCGAAGCAAGUCUGAAGUGAAAACCCAGGGCUCAACCCUGGGACUGCUUUGGAAACUGUUUUGCUAGAGUGUCGGAGAGGUAAGUGGAAUUCCUAGUGUAGCGGUGAAAUGCGUAGAUAUUAGGAGGAACACCAGUGGCGAAGGCGGCUUACUGGACGAUAACUGACGUUGAGGCUCGAAAGCGUGNGGGGCAAACAGGAUUAGAUACCCUGGUAGUCCACGCCGU
rnacentral:rRNA from 1 species